AGAGGGAGAGAGUGGGUUGCAAAGAAGAAAGCUCAUUUUCAAACUCAUAUAAUCUACAGUAAUUGCACUGGGAAUACAGGCAAAGCCUAGCAAAGCAAAUUGCUUUUCAUAGAAAUAUUUUUUUUUUCAAGUUUGUUCCACAAUGAAAAUCUCUCUAAAUUGCACGGAGUGUUGGACAUAAAGCAAUUUUAAUACAUAGCCAAUGUGAGACAAGCAAUCUGGGAUGUAAAGGUUUGAACUGAGACUGACAGCAUCAUGAGAAAAACACUAUGCUUCCAAAACAGCACUAUGUAGGACUGAACAAAAACAAAAUACAGAAAUGCUACUAAUGUGUUUACUAUCCACGCAUCUAACAUUUGUAAAGGAAUCGGCCUCUUUAUCUUUCCCUUCCCAUUUUACACUCUCUCAAACACAUUCUAUAAAAAUUAUACUUCCUUUUUUGGAAUCAUUUCCACUUUGGAGAAGUUGCAAUACUCUUAUACCUAAAUAACAUCCUUGGGAAUUAUUCAUAUGCAAAUUAGGUUAAAACAUUUCUCCAACUAUUCUUUCCUCCAACUGGUAUUCUUUCCUGUAAUCUCCUUUCCUUGUUAAAAGAAAAAUCCUGCUCACAGUAAGCCUAGAGCUUUUACAGAAGUCUAUACUCAGGCAAUAGUGCUGAGAUUUUUCUAAGAUAAGAAAUUAAAAGCCACAACUCCAAUAAAGCAGGGAGUCUGGGUUAUACAUUAUUGGUUGUUAUUGUUGUUUUUGAGUUGAGUUAUGCUUUGUACCGUUUUGUUUGGCUUGCUUUUCUAAUAAAGUGGGAAAGUCUUUAAGAAAAUAAGAAAAAUAAACCACGUGAACUAAAAUGAUCUGUCAGUGAUACUCGGGAAAAGGGAGGGUUAAAAUAAUAAUUUAACUAGAGGCCAAAAGAUUACAAACUCUUCUAAGUCUUCUAAUAUUUAUAUUGACAUAGGGCAUGAGUAUUCUAAAAAGCAGCCUAUUGUGAAACAGUCAAGACUUCUUGCAGUAUUUUCAUGGAAUAUCCCCCUAAAUUCCCAUCUGCCUGUGCAGAAGGCCAAAGACGACAUACAACGUAUGAUUAAGGAUAACUGAGUGUUCAAACUACUUUGGAGUUGGCAAGGAGCGGAGUUCAUUAAUGGUUGAAUUAAAUGGUUGAAUUAAAUAUUUGAGGCAAAUGGUUGAAUUAAAUAUUUGAGGCAAGAAAAUGAUCUGACCAAGUCCUCAGAAAACAUUAUACCAAGUUGAAUGACUUGAGCCUUUUACAUGUUUGAAGUCAAACAGAAUACCAAGUUCUUGAGGCUCUUAUAACUAGAUGGACAUUGACUGAUAAUGCCACAGCAUAUGCUGUAUUUUCUUUCCAAUAUCUAGUUGAUAUUACACUUUCAGAAGAGACAGCAUCUAAUCGUUCCUCUUCCACCUUCCUACCUGCCUUUAAGAUACACCUAAGUGGACAAAUAUAGGGUUGACUUAAUCAAUUUGGUGCCAAUUUCAUAACAUUCUCUUGAGUCAAGAUCAAAGUAGAAAUAUGGAUUUUGUUGUGUUUUAAUAAGCAUCAGAAAGAGUGAGACUACAAUUCUUUCCAGACCCUCUUUAGCCAACUUCCGGAAAGUCUCCCUUUUACUUUUUUAAACCUUCCUGGCCUUUCCCAGAAGUUUUUCAAGGUUGAGUUAGAGACAAAAACUGAAAAGAUUCAGUUCCAAUGGCUUCUUUUCUGACAUCCACACUCAGUUUGCUCGUCUUUAUCACUGUGGACAAGAAUAAUUGCUUAGGAAAAAAAAUCAAAUUAGGACCCAAAUUAAAAAUAUAUUUAUAAACAGUAAUUACACUGUGCGAAUAGUUUCAAGAAACUUGAGUAACAUAGUAUCAUAUUGGAUCUCAGGAGAGAAGAAAUACUGGAUCUUUUUUCCCAAGACGUAUGAGAGAAAAUAGGAAAAUAAAGACAAUGGAAGACCAGUUCUCGAGAUCAUUUUCAAUCUGGCUUUGCCUAUCUGUCUGUGGUCCUCAACACGGCAUCAGUAUACUUCUCUCCAUCUGCAACUUUACCAGAACAACAUAAUAAUGCUACCAUUAAUACUUUGUCCAAGACACUGUGCUAAAUUAGCAA
rnacentral:lncRNA from 1 species